rnacentral:rRNA from 1 species
UAUUAUUUGAUGGCGACCAGCGCACGGGUGCGUAACACGUAUGCAAUCUGCCUCGUACUUGGGCAUAACUCCGAGAAAUCGGUGCUAAUUCCCAAUAACACUAUUGAAGUGGCAUCACUUUAUAGUUAAAGUUCCGGCGGUACGAGAUGAGCAUGCGCCCAAUUAGCUAGUUGGUGAGGUAACGGCUCACCAAGGCUACGAUUGGUAGGGGUUCUGAGAGGAUGAUCCCCCACACUGGUACUGAGACACGGACCAGACUCCUACGGGAGGCAGCAGUGAGGAAUAUUGCGCAAUGGACGAAAGUCUGACGCAGCCAUGCCGCGUGAAGGAUGAAGGCCCUAUGGGUUGUAAACUUCUUUUGUACGGGAAAAAACGCUCCUACGUGUAGGAGCCUGAUGGUACCGUAAGAAUAAGCACCGGCUAACUCCGUGCCAGCAGCCGCGGUAAUACGGAGGGUGCAAGCGUUAUCCGGAUUUAUUGGGUUUAAAGGGUCCGUAGGCGGGCCGAUAAGUCA